ACUUGAGGGAGGAAAGUGCAGGACACCGAGGGGACCUGUGUCUUGUGUUUCAGAUGGCUGGAGUACAGUGGCACGAUCUCAGCUCACUGAAGCCUUACCUACUGGGCUCAAGCGAUCCUCCCACCUCAGCCUCGCACAUAGCUGGGACUACAGUAUAGAAACUUGAUACCUCCCUGCAAGCUGAGGGAGCAGGCUCCGGCCUUGGCCAGCCCAGAAAGGGGAUCCCACAAUGCAGCGGUGGGCUGAAGUGUUCCUCAAGUGCCGCCAAAGUGGGAGCCCAGGCAGAGGAGGCGCCGAGAGCGAGUGAGGGCUGUGAGGACUGCCAGCACGCUGUCACCUCUCAACACUGCGGUGCUGAUAAUGACACUUCCUGAUAAUUAGGAAUGUGGAGCCAAGAUGGCCGAAUAGGAACAGCUCCGGUCUACAGCUCCCAGCGUGAGCGACGCAGAAGAUGGGUGAUUUCUGCAUUUCCAUCUGAGGUUUUUCCCAUGGUGUUCCCUUUCCAAUGUCUUUCUGGAAGUCACACAUUGACCACUAACAACAGGAGAGAGGACAAAGAAAGGCAGCAAAAGACUAUUUCCAAUGCGAAAUAUGAUCAGUUCCUGCUUCCUGGUUGCUGUGAGGAUUCAAUCUAAUAAUAUAUAUUAGAAUGUUCCUGAACCUCUAAAAGGCUUAAAAAAUCUUGACAGGCUUACUGUUAUUCUAAUAAAUGUUCCAAAUAAUAGAA
rnacentral:lncRNA from 10 species